ACGCCUAACACAUGCAAGUCGAAGCGAGGUAGCAAUACCUAGCGGCAGACGGGUGAGUAACAUGUGGGAAUCUGCCUUUUGGUUCGGAACAACACGGGGGAAAACCUGUGCUAAUACCGGGAUAAGUCCUAACGGAGAAAGUUUUAAUGGCCAAAAGAUGAGCCCGCAUUUGACUAGCUAGUUGGUAAGGUAAUAGCUUACCAAGGCGACAAUCAAUAGCUGAUUUUGAGAGGAUGAUCAGCCACACUGGGACUGAGAUACGGCCCAGACUCC
rnacentral:rRNA from 1 species